rnacentral:rRNA from 1 species
UACGGGGGGGGCAAGCGUUGUUCGGAAUUACUGGGCGUAAAGGGCUCGUAGGUGGCCAACUAAGUCAUACGUGAAAUCCCUCGGCUUAACCGGGGAACUGCGUCUGAUACUGGAUGGCUUGAGGUUGGGAGAGGGAUGCGGAAUUCCAGGUGUAGCGGUGAAAUGCGCAGAUAUCAGGAAGAACACCCGUGGCUAAGGCGGCUCUCUAGUACGGUACUGACGCUGAGACGCGAAAGCGUGGGGAGCGAACAGG